rnacentral:rRNA from 1 species
GUCUCUUUGAUUAUAAAAGAAUAAGGAGUUGGGCCUGCUCAGUGAAAAUAAUAUUUUAACAGCUGCGGUUUUAUAGCUGUACUAAGGUAGCAUAAUAAUUUGCCUUAUAAAUUAGGGCUAGAAUGAAUGGUUUGACGAAAAUUGUACUGUCUCUAUUUUAAUUAUUAGAAAUUAAUUUUUAAAGUGAAAAAGCUUGAAUGAUUUAAAGGGACGAGAAGACCCUAUUGAGCUUUAAGUUAUAUAUAUAUAAAUAAAUGUAUAUAUAUAAUUUUUGAUUGGGGUGAUCAAGGAAUAAAAUUUAUAUUAGGAAUAACUUCCUUAAAUUAAUAUUAUUUUGUUAGAAAAAUAAACCAAUUUAUUGCUUUAAUGAUAAGUUACCAUAGGGAUAACAGCGUAAUUUUUUUUGAGAGUUCUUAUUAAAAGAAGAGAUUGCGACCUCGAUGUUGGAUUAAAAUAACCAUUAGGUGUAGAGGCUUUUUUUGGUAAAUCUGUUCGAUUUUUAAAAUUUU